GUUUUUUUAGGUCGACGGAAUUUACUUACUUCCAAUUAGAUUCUCAAUCAAAAGCGGUUUAGAAAUAUUAAAAAUUGACUAUACAGUUAUUCAAAAUAUCAAGUUAUAUUCGUUUUAUCUUGUCGUAUUGAUCCACAACAAACCAAAUAAUAUAUUGGGUGAAUUAAAUUUCACUGCUCAGACGAAUGCGAAAUUAGGAAAGUAUGAGUGAUGAUUUCAUAUUUAGUUCUCUCUCCUCCCGACAACAAAUUCUGACAUAUUUGCCCCUACUCAGCAGAGAUAUUGUUGGAUACGUAAUGAUUGUGCAACAUUUAAUGCCCCUGAAAAAAUUAUUGCUAAUGUUUCUUACAUGGAAAUAUAUCCUUAACAUAACUUCAACCCAAGUUGUUAGUGGGUAAGACAUGUAUAUGAAUUAGUAUAAAAAGAAUAAUGAUACAGUUUAGGAUGAACUAAAUGUGGCAAUAAUGUAACCGCUACAGAGCAGUUGGAGUCGCCGAAGCAGGACACAAGUAUGAAGAUAAUUAGGUUAGUCGAUAAUAAGUUAUUUGAUAUGGUAUCAUAGAUUAUAUUAGAAGAUAGUUGAUAGAAGAUAAGAAUAAAUAAGACUAUGCCCAAUAGUAGAAGACGAUAACCAGAUAGCAGAUAAUAAAGUUAAUAUAGUUGUAGGGCUUCACCACUCGUAAUGAAAUGUUGAGUUAUUACACGUGUAGUGAGAGUACCGCAAAAAUUCGUAUACGGUAAUAAAGUAUCCGAUAAUAAAUCCGUUAGGGGUUAAAACUUCAACACGCGCAAUAAAAUGUCGAGAUAUUACACAAAGUAAAACAAUAUGAAAUGUCGAGAUAAUGAGAUAGCAGAUAUUAGAGUUAAUAUAUUCAUAAUAGAGUUAAUAUAUUCACCGCUCGCAACACGUGAGACGAAUUCUGAACCGCAAAAAUUCGUGUACGGUAAUAAAUUAUCUGAUAACAAACCAAUUAGGAGUUAAAACUUCAAAACAUGCAAUGAAAUGUCGAGAUAACGAGAUAGCAAAUAAUAGAGUUUAUAUAGAUAUAGGUCCUCUCGCAAUGAAAUGUCGACUUAUUACACGUAGGGAGAGUAAAUAAAAUGUAGAAUUCUGAAGCGCAAUGUCGGUAAUAAAGUAUCUGAUAAUAAAUCCGUUAGAGGUUAAAACUUCAACACGCGCAAUAAAGUGUCGAGAUAUUACACAGAGUGAAACAAUAUAAAAUGUCGAGAUAACGAGAUAGCAGAUAAUAGAGUUAAUAUAUUCAUAACAGAGUUAAUAUAUUCACUACUCGCAACACGUGAGACGAAUUUUGAACAGUAAAAACUCGUGUACGGUAAUAAAUUAUCCGAUAACAAACCAAUUAGGAUGAAAGAGACGAAGAAAAAAUAUGAGGUAAAUAUAGAUUGGACCGAAACGACGCCUCGAUUGAAAACUAUCAAAAUAAUAUAAAAUUUUGAUUCACCCACCAAAAUAUCCAAAACAAGAUCUUCUACUAUUCACCUGACACAGAGAAAUAUAAAAGCUACGUUUAGAUUUUUACUAGACAUAGGGGUACAUGCGUCUUUAUUUUUGCAACAGUAGCGCCGAAACUUUUGGGAAAUUAGAACCUAAAUACUGAAUCCACUGAGCAUACCUAGUGCAAUUUCCCUAAUAUAUUUCUAUAAUUUCAAAAUCAUAUAUUUGCCAACAAAAAUAAUAAAUUCCUUGUUGGCUAGCUACAAAUUUAGUACAAUGAAAAAUUAGGAGUGGUUCAAUAUCUUUUCUCACAUUAAUGAGAUUUAAUCAGCAGCAACCAACUUGUUGGAAGAAAUAAAAAUUAUUGCUUAUAAGCAUUCAACUUUGUGGCAUAAGUAAAAGAAUUCAAAUACAAAUUCUUUCACACAACAAAAUAUUGGAUGGAGAAGGAUCAAGAAUCAUGAAGUAGAAACGAGUGCAAUCACCAAUUAUAUUUCAUGAUAUGGUUACCUAUUUGACAAUCUUACUAUUAGACAUCUCUAGCUUCCCUUCCUAUUGCUUAAUUGUUGAUCAUUUAUUUUUGUUUCUUAGAAUUCCUUUGAGUAGACAUUAUGUUCUUUUUACAUAUGGAAUGUGUAAAAAGUUACUAUAUUUAAUCGAUUUAUUUUAAACAUUUGAAUUUUGUUUUAGGUCGACGGAAUGUACUAACUUUCAAUUAAAUUACCUAGUCAACACUACAACUAGUUUUGACGAUACAAAAUAGGUUAGCAUAUAUUAAAAAUUGACGUUCGGGUUAUUCAUAAUAUCAAGUUACAUUUGUUCUGUCGGUUUGAUUUGAUGCACAAAAAUCCAAAAAACAUAAUUUUGUAGAAAAAACCACACAUGCUAUAAUUCUUUCGUUUCCCUACGAAUUAAUAGUCUGUAAUAUAAUCAUUGGGUUAAGUUAUUCAAAAUCGUUAUAAUAGUUUUCUCAAUUUUAAAAAUCGGCUAACAGAAAUAUGAUUAGACUUCGUAGUAAUUUAAUAUUUUUUGCUGUUCAGGUUUAAAAAUGUAUAGUAUCAUAUUUUGGGUUGGAAAAAGCAUCCAACAAAUUGUUCUUACUGAUUUUGGCCAUUUUUCCACACAAUGUGCAUAGUUUUUUGGUACCAUGUCAAAACUAUGUACCACAUUACCUAUAUCUAAAAUAGGUUUUGGUGAUACAAUAUUGCGUCGCAAAUUCAAACAAUACAAUUCAUUAAAACUUGCUAUAAAACUUGACAAAAUAUUUGUAAUAUCCACUCUAUUCAUAACUUCAUGGAACAAAGUAGGGUGAGUUAAGAAUAUAUACAUGGAAGAAGUUUUAAUUAAGAAUGUAUACAUGUAGAUUUGAUAUUUGGGUGAGAUUAAUCUUGCAACACAAAUAUUCCAACUAUACCCCUAUAAGUCAGAGAUAUUUGUAGGCGAUUGAAGAAAGAUAUAGUGCAUUAAAUGCGUCGACAGAAACGGGACAUUAAAUUAGCAUACCUUUAGCAGCUACAUAUGUAACUAACGAUAACAUAACAAAACAAGUAAGCAAAAUGUUAUCGAACUAAGUUAUAAUCUAACAUGCUGAUGAUUAUCCCCCUAUAAAGAAAUUUAAAACCAAAUUAACAAUAUUGAAGACAAGCGGGUUACGAAAAUGUUACCCGAUAAUAGUGUGAUUAACAAUUAACAAGCCACACAAAGACCUUAACCAAAGGUUGUCAACUACACAACCGUUUUAAAUAUUUAUUCAACACACAAACUAUCUAACCUGGUCGUUACCGACUGUAGUGUUGUCGCCUCACAUAUCAAUGUCGCCUUACAAUAGAAGAGAUACAGUCGGAAUUGCGAAGCUAAAGAAGGAGUAAAAACUGGAUAUUUUGUUUGUUGUCGGAUAUGUAUGUUAAUAAUUAACAAUCUGUUUUGUGUUAUCGGAUAUCAGAUAUUUUGUUAUCGGAUAAGUAUGUUAACAAUCGGAUAUUUUGUUUGUUAUCAGAUAAGUAUGGUAACAGAAGAGAUACAGUCGGAAUUGCGAAGUUAAAGAAGGAGCAAAAACUGGAUAUUUUGUUUGUUAUCGGAUAAGUAUGUUAACAAUUAACAAUUUUUUUUGUUGACAAUCAUUUAUUUUCGUUUCCGAAAAAAAUGUAUGGACGAAGUGACACUAAUCUAACAUAACAGGUAAGAAAAAUGUUAUCGAAAUAAGUUACAAUCUAACAUGCCGAUAAUCAUCCUCCAAUAACGAAAUUGAAAACCAAAUUAACAAUAUUUUUUCACGGCCGGUUACUAAUUUGUUACCCGAUAAUAGUGUGAAUAACAAUCAUGUUGGACAAUGGUAUUUCUCAUCAAUUAUGCGGGACAAUAAUAUCUGUUGUCUGACAUAAUAUUAGGCUAAGGGUAAUAA
rnacentral:sRNA from 1 species